rnacentral:tRNA from 1 species
GGUCGGGUGGCAGAGUCUGGUUGAAUGCACCGGUCUUGAAAACCGGCGUGCUCGAAAGAGUACCGGGGGUUCGAAUCCCUCCCCGACCG